GGCCCGGGAAAAAGUCCCAGUCCCGGUCCUGGCGGGACUCCUGCCGCCGGCCAGCAUAGCGACAGAGUGACAGACCUGCCCCGUUCAUGCUCACAGCUUCAUUCCUCUGUUCCUACCCAGCAAUUAAUUUAAUUUGCAGAUUCAGCGUGGAAACUGGCCCGCCGACCAGCGAUCUCCGCACAUUUACAAUUUUACCCAGUUAAUUAACCUAGAAACCUGUGCGUCUUAGGAACUCCAGGAGAAAACCCAGGCAGGUCACGGGAAGACCAUACGAACUCUGUACAGGCAGCGCCCUUUAGUGACGAUCAAGCCCGGGUCUCUGGCGCUGUAAAGGCAGCAACUAUCGCUGUUUGUUUUAAAAGUCAAAUGUUGAAUUUAGAUUGUGUGGGAGGGAUCUGCAGCUGCUGGUUUACACCGAAGAUAGACACAAAAUGCUGGAGUAACACAGCGGGUCUGGAGUAAAGGAGACCCUUCUUCAGAUUGUUGGAUGGAGUUAGAAAGUGCCCGAUCCAAAGGUUGUCAAGGAAUGUGCCAUGGAGCUGAGAAACAUCGGGGAUUUGUUUAACGUCCUGCAGCUCAUGCUAAAUACUGUCAGCAAGAUGUUUCAGCGGUCCACCUGAACGCCGAAGUCAAAGCUACAGAGGAUGGCUGGAAAAAGUGUGUCGGUUUUCUCUAACUGCUGCCGGUUGGGGAGGAAUUCAUGUCUCAACAUGCCCGCGAAGCGAGCAGACUGUAUUGUGAAUGGUGACCAGGUUAUCGAAUGGGGAAGUGGAGAAAUUAAUACAUUGAGGGUCUGUUUUUAGAAGUAAGAUAUGACUGAUAUGAAUGGUACUAACUACUGGUCAGAGGACAAAAUAAAAUCUAAAAGUGAGAAGUGUAGCUUCUAAAUGUAUUUGGGAAGAGUGCCUGGGGAACCAUGGACUGAAAUGUCCCAUAAAGUAACGUUUGCCCAAUAUUUUCAAUGUAUCUACAUGUCGGAGAGGUGUGUAUCUCCUAGAGCGACCUAUAAUUGCUGAUUGUAAAAAAAUGGCAAAUAAGAUUACACAAUAGAUCAGGAAACAUGGUUGAAGGCUUUGUGAGAAAUCAUGAAAGAUAUGUUUGAAAUUUCAGUGAUUUGCUUUGUGAAAUGGUAUACAUUUACCUUUUGUAAUGUAUUUUGAAAUGCAACUAAAUGUCUUUUGUGAUGCAUUUUCCAUUAGUAAUAACAUAAAGUUAUUUGAAGUAGCAAUGUAUAGCCUCUUUGUAUGAGCAUAAGUAGUUAAUAGGAGGAAACCUAUUAUUCACGAGGUUUUAAAAUAUUAAAAGGACUCUCUUUAAAGUUAAUGUGGCUUUAAAAAUAAAAUAUUGUCUUUGACUAUCAUCUUUUGAAUUUAUAUUAUGAUAACACAGUAAGACAGCUCUGAUUCUGUAGUUUAUAGAAAUAUAUUAAAUAAAUGUGCUGCGAUUGA